CUUGAACAUGCUGAAUUUUUCCAGUGUAUCACAAUUACAGAAACACCUGUGCCAAACAGCUUUCUUCUGAUCCUCUAUAAAAGUUCACAAAGCCCUCAAACUUUCUCAUUUCAUACAGGUCUGCACUGCCUUGAAGCCAGCUCCAUACGUCUCAAUAUGGGAUACUGCAGAAUUGUUCCUUUUCAUGCUUCUAAACAUAAAAAAGGUGGAAUGGCCACCAAAGCUCUGAAACCAAGAGCAAAACAGUUGAGACUUCAGGAGGGAGCAGCUACACAUAGUCCUCAAUGCGACAUGAAGGCAAUGGGCAAAGGCAGGACAUCCAAGAGAGCAGCACACCUCAUAGACCCCAGACUCAGGGGAUCCCAUGGACUUGGUGGGAAUACUCCUCAAGGAACACAGAAUAAACGUCCUUCUGAACAGCUGCCUUCUGCACAUCUGUGUUUCUAUAUGCCUUUCAGAGCAUCAGAGCUUGGGUAUGAUCAGAGUGGUCUCAAGGGAAGCAUCCCUUGUGGCACAUUGUUUGAAAGACACUGGAGACGUUUCCCACAUGCGACUGAAAUCCCAGCCUGUUCCACUAGAGGGUUGUGGCUAUAGGACAAGCCUAAGCAGCGGCACUAACAGGCAGGCUGGUGUGAUCUGCCUCAGUGUUGUGAUAAUUUUCGUUUUCUGAAUACAGCCUUUACUUUCGACCACUGGUUCUUCUUGCAGGAGCAAUCUGUGAAGCAUAAAGCCGUGAAAUGUUGUCCUUUCCCCAGCUUCUGAGCCUUCAAAGCUCCCAUGACACCUCCUUCUUGGUCUAACUUUGCUGACUACAGAACAAGAAAGCUUGUCUGAUUGUAAGACAUUAAGAUUAAAAAAAAUGCUGCUUAAAUGAUGUCUCUUCUCCUCUACCAUACAGAAAAACUAUUUUUUUGAUGAUAAAGAAAGUUCACAGCAUAAAAAAAAAAAAAGAAAAAAAAAAAAAGUAAAUUGCAGAACACUUCUACUAAAACAACAGGUCAGUCCUAAUAACCUUUUAACAGAAAGAUGGGUCUCACCCUGGUAAUAGACAGCACCCUUAUCUUGUCUUAACUGGAACAAUCAAGAAAAGAUAUAUCAGAUUUGAAGGUAAUCCUAGUUCUGCCACUAAAAAUGACAUUGCUGAAAUAGGAUGUUUGUGAUUCAAUCUCUUUAAACAAACUGUUAAGUCACAAAAAAAAAAAAAAAGCAUUAAUGACAAAUAAACCCAUAUCAUCUACCUCCUCUCCUAACA
rnacentral:lncRNA from 1 species